rnacentral:rRNA from 1 species
GACGAACGCUGACGGCGUGCUUAACACAUGCAAGUCGAACGGUGAAGCGCCUUCCUUUUUGGUGGGUGUGGAUGAGUGGCGAACGGGUGAGUAACACGUGAGUAACCUGCCCCCUUCUUCUGGAUAACCGCAUGAAAGUGUGGCUAAUACGGGAUAUUCUGGGUCUGUCGCAUGAUGGGUCUGGGAAAGAUAUUGUUUCGGUGGGGGAUGGGCUCGCGGCCUAUCAGCUUGUUGGUGGGGUGAUGGCCUACCAAGGCGGUGACGGGUAGCCGGCCUGAGAGGGUGGACGGUCACACUGGGACUGAGACACGGCCAAGACUCCUACGGGAGGCAGCAGUGGGGAAUAGUGCACAAUGGGCGCAAGCCUGAUGCAGCGACGCCGCGUGAGGGAUGGAGGCCUUCGGGUUGUGAACCUCUUUCGCCAGUGAAGCAGGCCUGCCUCGUUUGUGGGUGGGUUGACGGUAGCUGGAUAAGAAGCGCCGGCUAACUACGUG